CCGCCUGGGGAGUACGACCGCAAGGUUGAAACUCAAAGGAAUUGACGGGGGCCCGCACAAGCGGUGGAGCAUGUGGUUUAAUUCGAAGCAACGCGAAGAACCUUACCAGGUCUUGACAUCCUUUGACCACUCUAGAGAUAGAGCUUCCCCUUCGGGGGCAAAGUGACAGGUGGUGCAUGGUUGUCGUCAGCUCGUGUCGUGAGAUGUUGGGUUAAGUCCCGCAACGAGCGCAACCCUUAUUGUUAGUUGCCAUCAUUUAGUUGGGCACUCUAGCGAGACUGCCGGUGACAAACCGGAGGAAGGUGGGGAUGACGUCAAAUCAUCAUGCCCCUUAUGACCUGGGCUACACACGUGCUACAAUGGGAAGUACAACGAGUUGCGAAGUCGCGAGGCUAAGCUAAUCUCUUAAAGCUUCUCUCAGUUCGGAUUGUAGGCUGCAACUCGCCUACAUGAAGCCGGAAUCGCUAGUAAUCGCGGAUCAGCACGCCGCGGUGAAUACGUUCCCGGGCCUUGUACACACC
rnacentral:rRNA from 1 species